rnacentral:rRNA from 1 species
GUGUGCCUAACACAUGCAAGUCGAGCGAAAUCUUCUUAUCUGAUGCUUCAGGGAUCAAUAACGGCGUCGAGCGGGGGAUGGGGGAGGAAUGCCCAGGAGAUUGCCCUGGUGUGGGCCCAUAACCAUUGGAAAGUAUGGCUUAUAUGCCUCAACACCAACUGGCCUCUGAUGGGGACCUUCGGGCCUCUCACGUCUGGCUAUGCCUCGGUGGGAUUAUGGACUUGGUGAAGGAACGGCUCACCUGGGACUGAAUCCCUGCCUGGACUGAUACGAUGAUCAGCCGCGCUGGAUCUGACACACUGACCAAACUCCUGCCGCAGGCACCCCUGGUGAGUAUUGACCAAUGUGCGCUUGCCUGAUGCUUCCAUGCCGCGUGAUGAGGAAAGGACCUCCGGUUGAUAAACCCCUUUCAGUACGUGACGAACGUAGUGUAUUAUAAUAUCUGCAUUGAUUGACGUUCGCAACAGAUGAACCUCCAGAGUAUCUCCGGGCCAGCAGCCGCGGUUAUACGGAGGGUGCGAGCUCUUACUCGGAAUUACUGUCCGUACUGCUCAUGCUAGUGGUCUGUUAAGUCAGAUGUGAUAUCCCGGUGCUCAGUCUCAUACUUGCAUUUGAAACUGGAAGACUAUUGUACUGGACAGCUGCGUAGACUUUCACGUGUACCGAGGACGUGCGUUCAGAUCUGAAACACUAUUAGUGGCCAAUGCAGUCCUGUGCACAGAUACUGACACUUAGAUGUCAAAGCGAGCGGAGCACUCAGGAUCAUAUACACUGCGAGUACACGUCGUACUCGAUGUCUACCUGGACGAUGUGACCUUCAACCGAGUCUACUGGAGCUCACGCGAUCAGUAGACUAUCUGGUUAGUACGGAUCGCACACUCAGACUCUUACGAAUUGAUGACGUCCCGGCACAAUCCUUGGAGCCAGUGGAUUUACUUCCAUGCACCCGCCUGACAGCGUUACCUACUGCUUGACAUCCACAUGACUUUUCCAGAUAUUGGGGUUGAAGUCCUUCGAGAAACUCUGAGACCAAGGGCUUUAUGGGCUUAUCGUUCCCUUUGGGGUGCUCAAAGGGUGGGCCUUAAGUUGCCAAACCGGAAGGAAACCUUUGAUCCUUUGUUUUGCCUCCUCGGUGACGCUUUGGAUACCCCGGGGGAAACCC